rnacentral:rRNA from 1 species
CCUUACCAACCCUUGACAUCCUGUGCUACAUCCAGAGAUGGAUGGUUCCCUUCGGGGACGCAGUGACAGGUGCUGCAUGGCUGUCGUCAGCUCGUGUCGUGAGAUGUUCGGUUAAGUCCGGCAACGAGCGCAACCCACAUCCUUAGUUGCCAGCAGUUCGGCUGGGCACUCUAAGGAAACUGCCCGUGAUAAGCGGGAGGAAGGUGUGGAUGACGUCAAGUCCUCAUGGCCCUUACGGGUUGGGCUACACACGUGCUACAAUGGCAGUGACAAUGGGUUAAUCCCCAAAAAACUGUCUCAGUUCGGAUUGUCGUCUGCAACUCGACGGCAUGAAGUCGGAAUCGCUAGUAAUGGCGUAACAGCAUGACGCGGUGAAUACGUUCCCGGGUCUGUACACACCG